rnacentral:rRNA from 1 species
UACAGAGGUCCCAAGCGUUGUUCGGAUUCAUUGGGCGUAAAGGGUGCGUAGGCGGCGCGGUAAGUCGGGUGUGAAAUCUCGGAGCUUAACUCCGAAACUGCAUUCGAUACUGCCGUGCUUGAGGACUGGAGAGGAGACUGGAAUUCCUGGUGUAGCGGUGAAAUGCGUAGAUAUCAGGAGGAACACCUGUGGCGAAAGCGGCUCACUGGACCACAACUGACGCUGAUGCACGAAAGCUAGGGGAGCAAACAGG